CAGACUGUUUAUGGCCGCGGGUCGACAGAUGGAUCUCUCCAGAUCCACCUCUGAAGUGGGUCCUUCCUGUGGGUCAUAAAGACCAGAAGCUGCUCUGUUGACUGUUGUCAUGGUAACAAGACAGCAGACAGACACUGACCACCUGUCACAGGUGAGUCCGAGCUUCAGGUAAGACCUGGAAGACUGAUGCAGGUUUUUAACACUACAGGGAAUUAUGGGAGAUAUAGUUCUGGACCCAGAGACAGGACAGGAAAUGCUGCAGGUGGACCGGACUUUCCUGAGGGGACUUUAAGGUGGACCGGACCCUCCUGACGGGACUUUAAGGUGGACCGGACCCUCCUGAC